UGUAAAAUCCUACAGUCAUUCUUCCACACAUAAAGGGAAAACGGACUCACUAGGAGGACCUAGACUCUUUCAGCUUGAACUGUUAACCAAUGGUGGAAAUGCAAGAAUGCUGAAGUUGUGCCUUCAGAGCCAAUAGAGUGGAUUUGUGUGUCCCACAUGACUGUGUUUCCCCUGUCUUUCACAUGGGCAGUAUUUAGUUCAAUUCAGAACUGCAGAUAGUAUAGCGUGCAGAGCAGCAAUGGGAUGUCUGAGCACAAGUGGCUGACUUCCAGGCGACUUCAAGAAGCACCUUUGCACAUUUCUCCUGAAUUAAACUGGAAUUCUGCACCCUUGACAUCCUCCCACUCUCCUGGUGUCUGCGGAAGGAAACAGCGACCUGCACAGCACAACAAAACUACAAAUCAUCACUGCUCUACAGACAAGCAAAUGAAGUGAGCUGAGGGCAAUUUAACUACCGCCUUCUGUGUCAGUUCCCCAGAAGUCAAUGAGGCAUACCAUCGGGUCUCCAAGAGGAGCAUCCAGAUGCCAGCUGGUGGAAAGGCAGAUGCUACUGAUUUCAAAGGAGUUGCACCAGUUUACACUGAGAGUCUGAUCCCAAGUGCAUUACAGCUAUUUUUAGGCACUAGCAUUGGAAUUCACUUCAGUGACAAUUAAAAAUACAUCCAUGCAUUGCAUUACAUCCUGUCCCCAAGUGGAAGCCUGUUGACAGGCUGUGGGAGAGGGCAAGUGAAAGGAGCCGAGAACUAUAUACAUGAGAUAACUUUGUAAUAUGAGUAUUAACCCUAAUUUUCAGUUGUCUUUUUGAUACAAAUGACUAUUUGCCUUCAGGAAAAGCCUCAGCUCCAUCUUCCAGUAACAAUUCAAUACUAGCAAAGGAAAAACAAAACAAGCCACAAUCCUACAGACCACAUAGAUUGUCUAAGUAUGUUUGAAAAGACUUAUCAUCUAAAAUUGUAAGGAACCCCCAAACCUGAGACCUGUUUGUUCAACUAAGUAUUUGUUCCUAAGGGAUUGCACUGCUGAACAAGCAGUAAGAUUGUUAAAAAUAUUGAAACAGCUGUUGGAAGCUCUAUUUCAGCAAGCAGUUAAUGUGGGGGAGGGAGAAACAAGAAAGGAAGAGGUGGAGCGAUAAGCAAGGCAGAGCAGUACUUCACAGCUCCAGCCCUUUAAAUAGGGAGAGGAGACUAAAUAGUAAAUUGAUUUACAUAGAGCAGCUGUUAAACAUGAACAUAUUGUGUAACAAAAUCUAGUUACCAUUAUUAACCAGUAUAAUGAAUAUUUGUCUUUUGAUUCAAGAUAGCAAGGUCAAAAUGGAAAAGCUAACUAAUUAGAACUGAAGAUGCAGCUCACAGAGCAACUGAAGUAAUUGUUUGUUUGUGCAGCACAACACCCGUAUCUUCAAUUUAGGUCAGGCCAUCAAGAGGAGGAAAAAGGACUGAAGAUGAGAUGCUCUACUUCACACAGUUGCCCUCUGGAAGGGCUGGCAAAGGCAGUCACUUAAAUUAAGUACAGGUCAUCAGACAGGAUAUCUAAUCUAUUCCUAAAACAGGCAGCUCUAGCAGACCAAAUCCCCACGGCCUUUACAGCAACACAACGAACUACUUCCUCAUGUACCUCUGUCAAUUCACGUUAAGUUCCUAUUUUUUUUAAAGCGAUAUUUCAUGUACACCAUGACCCUAUUGCUCACAGCAAGCGAAGUGCUUUGGUUUAUUUAUGACCUACUAACCUUAAAUAAAAAAACCAUACAUCCAAUCUGAAUGUUCACAUAAGCCUGCAGAUCUGAAAUAAAACUUAAAAUAAAGCUGGCAUUUGUAAUAGCUAGCUAAGCCCAGUAAGGGAUUUAGAAAAAAAAUUAAAAUUAAAACCAGAUGAGAGAAGAUGAAAGCAUUUUUACCCUGCAUAACCUGCACACAUCAUGAAUGAUGGCUAGAGCUCAGGAAUACUUUUUUGUGUUUUUGUACUUACAAGUUUCAGCCCACUUCAACAGUGGCUAGGUAACCAAGGAAAUACUGAGGUUUUCCCAUUACAGGGUUGGGACGGAAUAAUAAUAACCCGUGAAAGUAAUUCCUUUUAAGAUGCAAUCCAUCCAGCCAUGAGCUCUACACAGCUCCUCUCUUUCCCUUACACCCCAUCCUAACUGCCAGGUAUCAGUCUGGCAAGACCUCAUACUGAAAUAUGAUGUGACAGAGGGAAGCAGGGAAUAAGACUAUAGGAAUAAGUACUGAAAUAAAUGGCUUACAGAAAGAAAGCUUAUAGCAGGGAAUACGUUAAACACAAGUGAUCCUAUAUAUAUUUUAUUAGAACAACGUUGAACAGAUGCAGAUGCGCAGAAGACUAUUCAGUUGAAGAGGUUUAUUCUCUCACAGCUCAUGCUGGCGUAAAGGACUCCCUUCCUCUGCAUCCAUGGAGUUGAACUGUGAUAUGGUCGGUACAAACAAGUGGAAAAAAAAAAAUCAAGCUUCAGACCUAAAAUACCAGCAGCAAACAUCAGCACAAAAAGGAGGGAGGGAGCAUCUCUGCCACAGUUCCACAGUUCUAGUUGGAACUAGAACUCAGAGAUAUUCAUAAUCACAGUGGCAUUCCUAAACAAACAAACAAAAAACCUACCAUAAAGGAGAAAUUCUUUAAAUUCCACUCUUCUGUAGUUCUCCAGCAGGAUAUAUUAAUGCCUCUGCUCUUUAGAUAUAUUUGAUAGAAAUACAGUUAUCUGUACAUGAAGAACAAUUCAUUGAAAGAAACAGAUACAACGAAGUUCUUGUCACCACAUUUGUUUAAAAAAGUAUAUAUGCAGGCAGCAUAUUUAUGACCUGAAGUCCUUUGGUGCUGGUUCUCUUUAUGGUAAAAUAAACAAAAUUAACAGAAAACAUUUUAUAAAGAUUUUCCUUUAAAUGUGGAAAGCAACGAGAGAGUACAAGACUAGCUCAUCCUCUGGUAAAAGAUUUUAAAAGUAGCAGCUCCUAGAAGCCAGUGAAUCAGUCACAGUUUCAGUGCAGCAAUGUAAGAGCAGCCCUAACUAAAGCAACUCAGACCAACAAAGCUGCAAGAGAACAACCUUCUGCAGGAGAACUGCUAACAAGCACAAGUAAGGUAAAAUUCCUGUGUCGCCGUUUUGUGCCUUCUGCUACAGCCCCAGCAAUUCUUUCUGUAAAACAUUACAAUCGUAACCCUAUACAUAGUUUGUGUGUAAAAAAUUAUACAUGUGUAUAUACAGAGUUAGAAGUACGGGGAAAAAUUAAUUGGAAAGCUCAGAUGCUAGCAAAAAUAGCUUGUGCUACUGUGGAAAUUGUUAUGGACUUUGUAAUGAUCAAGUUGUGGGUAUAAACACAUGAAAGGAAAUUUAGGUCAUCAAACCCUGAUAUAAACUCAACAAGAGGUGAAUACUGACAAAUUUUACUCUAUUUACUUUAUAUUCUUACUCUAUUGGACAAAGUAUAAACCGUAACACUGAUUCACGAUACUCUUGGCAGGAUCUGUAAAUAUACAGAUGAAAUCUUGUGUUUUGGUCUGCUAUGAAGUUCAGUUUUGUAGUAACAAGGACAACAUUAAUGCACUUCUGCCUGGAUGCCCAACUAUAUAGAUAAAGCCUGAAUAAGUGAAAUAUAUUUUCUUUUCAAGGACAUAUGGGAAGCUGCCAGCUCCACGCAUGAAGAAGGAAAUGGGAUGGGCAGAGAAGGGUGAUGAUAUUGGUAAGAGAACAAUGACUGAAAUUGCAUCAUCUGUAUGAUGAAAAUAAUCGUGUCAAUUUUGAUUUUCCCCCCUCCUUCCAGACAUUUAAGGAUGCCGUCAAGUCAAUGGAGUUCUCUUGUAGUGGUUGCUUCAGUGAACAUUCAACGCUGUCGGCCUUCACACCGAAGAUAGAAACCUAACCAGCACAUGAGGUUUCUCCCCUACUCUGCCACGCUUUACAAAAAAGGUCACAAUCAACAUUCAUUGCUGUCGGUGGGUUUAACUAUGUGGACAAGCUCACUGAACAAUGAAUGCAACUGUGGCCCCACAUUUUACAGGUGCAAUUGGGAGGAAGAUCAGCUCUGAAAGGAAUAGUGAGAAGCAGACACUUGUUAUAGGUUACAUUUUUCUGGUCAAGAAGUAGUUGAGGAUAUUCAAUUUUCACUUGUUCAUUUUUAAGGGCGUUUAACUAUGUUGACUGAAAAAAAUAGCACUGCCUUUUUCUGGACUAUCACCCUCCCAGGGUUCAGCAUCAUUGAAACCAUGAUAAUUCUUGUUCAGUUAGCAUAUGGAAACAAGUAAUAAUAUAGAGAACUUUAUAUGUAUAUAUAUACACACACAUACACUCCUCAGGACUUGAAGCAUAAGAAGGAAGAGUAUAUAAACCUCAUCUUAACUAGGUUUUGUGGAAUAGUUUUCAAAAAUCUAUACUUGUCAAGAAAAAAACAGAAACAGGAGUCAGAAUUCAGAGAUAUGGAUAAAAUAUUAUAUCAAAAAGAAUUAGGUAGUUUAACAUGAAAGUGAUCUUACUUAAAGAAAUGGUAUUAGACAGCAAGUAUUAUUACAUUUGCCAUAUUACAGAAAUAGAUGUAUACCCAGUAAUUAUCAAGCACUAGUUAAAUUGUAAAAUUAAUCUAAACUUUGGGUACUUGUGUCACACUCAGUAUUGCUAACAGUAAUGAAAAAAUAAAAGAG